GACGAACGCUGGCGGCGUGCCUAAUACAUGCAAGUUGAGCGCUGAAGGUUGGUACUUGUACCGACUGGAUGAGCAGCGAACGGGUGAGUAACGCGUGGGGAAUCUGCCUUUGAGCGGGGGACAACAUUUGGAAACGAAUGCUAAUACCGCAUAAAAACUUUAAACACAAGUUUUAAGUUUGAAAGAUGCAAUUGCAUCACUCAAAGAUGAUCCCGCGUUGUAUUAGCUAGUUGGUGAGGUAAAGGCUCACCAAGGCGAUGAUACAUAGCCGACCUGAGAGGGUGAUCGGCCACAGUGGGACUGAGACACGGCCCAAACUCCUACGGGAGGCAGCAGUAGGGAAUCUUCGGCAAUGGACGAAAGUCUGACCGAGCAACGCCGCGUGAGUGAAGAAGGUUUUCGGGUCGUAAAACUCUGUUGGUAGAGAAGAACGUUGGUGAGAGUGGAAAGCUCAUCAAGUGACGGUAACUACCCAGAAAGGGACGGCUAACUACGUG
rnacentral:rRNA from 1 species